rnacentral:lncRNA from 1 species
GGAAGUUGCACGCCAAAUGCAAAACCUCCGGCGAGCUGGAUUUCUUUGCACUUUAUUAUUUUUUUUUUUUAACUGAAAGCAGGGGUUGGCAGGCCCAAAAGCAAGUUGCAGGCGAAAUAGCAUUCUAGAAGAAUUCAAUUAGAGCAGGAGUCAUGGAUGGCUCUGCAGAACAGGCUACUACCUGAAGAUCUCUCGUGUCUUGCUUACAGACCCAGUUUUGCUGAAUCCACCUUAUGUUAACUGUGCUAUAAAUUCCAGAGGAGUGGUUUACAUAUGAGCUGGGAAGACUCACCUGCGUGGAUCAUUUAGGGACACCACAUUGCCUUGGAUGACCAACCUCCACCCUAUGAGGGUACCUGAAGCAGCAUAGUGGUUAAGAAUAUGACCUCUGGGGCCAGAACGCCUGGAUUUGAACCUGACUCUGCCACUUGUUGCCUAUGUGACCCUCAUAAGCCUUGUACCCUCUGUGCCCCCGAUUCCUUAUCUGUAAAAUGAGGGAAGACAAUAGUACCUGCCUCACAGGACUGUUGGGAGGCUUAACUGAGUUCUUACAUAUAAAGCACUUAGAACAUAGCCUGGCACAUAACAAGCAAUAAAUGAAUAUUAGUUGUUUCUCUUACUGUUCGUUCUUAUUUUUCA